GGGACACGUGGUAUCCUGUCUGAAUAUGGGGGGACCAUCCUCCAAGGCUAAAUACUCCUGACUGACCGAUAGUGAACCAGUACCGUGAGGGAAAGGCGAAAAGAACCCCGGCGAGGGGAGUGAAAAAGAACCUGAAACCGUGUACGUACAAGCAGUGGGAGCCUCUUAAUGGGGUGACUGCGUACCUUUUGUAUAAUGGGUCAGCGACUUAUAUUCUGUAGCAAGGUUAACCGAAUAGGGGAGCCGAAGGGAAACCGAGUCUUAACUGGGCGUUAAGUUGCAGGGUAUAGACCCGAAACCCGGUGAUCUAGCCAUGGGCAGGUUGAAGGUUGGGUAACACUAACUGGAGGACCGAACCGACUAAUGUUGAAAAAUUAGCGGAUGACUUGUGGCUGGGGGUGAAAGGCCAAUCAAACCGGGAGAUAGCUGGUUCUCCCCGAAAGCUAUUUAGGUAGCGCCUCGUGAAUUCAUCUCCGGGGGUAGAGCACUGUUUCGGCAAGGGGGUCAUCCCGACUUACCAACCCGAUGCAAACUGCGAAUACCGGAGAAUGUUAUCACGGGAGACACACGGCGGGUGCUAACGUCCGUCGUGAAGAGGGAAACAACCCAGACCGCCAGCUAAGGUCCCAAAGUCAUGGUUAAGUGGGAAACGAUGUGGGAAGGCCCAGACAGCCAGGAUGUUGGCUUAGAAGCAGCCAUCAUUUAAAGAAAGCGUAAUAGCUCACUGGUCGAGUCGGCCUGCGCGGAAGAUGUAACGGGGCUAAACCAUGCACCGAAGCUGCGGCAGCGACACUAUGUGUUGUUGGGUAGGGGAGCGUUCUGUAAGCCUGUGAAGGUGGCCUGUGAGGGUUGCUGGAGGUAUCAGAAGUGCGAAUGCUGACAUAAGUAACGAUAAAGCGGGUGAAAAGCCCGCUCGCCGGAAGACCAAGGGUUCCUGUCCAACGUUAAUCGGGGCAGGGUGAGUCGACCCCUAAGGCGAGGCCGAAAGGCGUAGUCGAUGGGAAACAGGUUAAUAUUCCUGUACUUGGUGUUACUGCGAAGGGGGGACGGAGAAGGCUAUGUUGGCCGGGCGACGGUUGUCCCGGUUUAAGCGUGUAGGCUGGUUUUCCAGGCAAAUCCGGAAAACCAAGGCUGAGGCGUGAUGACGAGGCACUACGGUGCUGAAGCGACAAAUGCCCUGCUUCCAGGAAAAGCCUCUAAGCAUCAGGUAACAUCAAAUCGUACCCCAAACCGACACAGGUGGUCAGGUAGAGAAUACCAAGGCGCUUGAGAGAACUCGGGUGAAGGAACUAGGCAAAAUGGUGCCGUAACUUCGGGAGAAGGCACGCUGAUAUGUAGGUGAAGCGACUUGCUCGUGGAGCUGAAAUCAGUCGAAGAUACCAGCUGGCUGCAACUGUUUAUUAAAAACACAGCACUGUGCAAACACGAAAGUGGACGUAUACGGUGUGACGCCUGCCCGGUGCCGGAAGGUUAAUUGAUGGGGUUAGCGGCAACGCGAAGCUCUUGAUCGAAGCCCCGGUAAACGGCGGCCGUAACUAUAACGGUCCUAAGGUAGCGAAAUUCCUUGUCGGGUAAGUUCCGACCUGCACGAAUGGCGUAAUGAUGGCCAGGCUGUCUCCACCCGAGACUCAGUGAAAUUGAACUCGCUGUGAAGAUGCAGUGUACCCGCGGCAAGACGGAAAGACCCCGUGAACCUUUACUAUAGCUUGACACUGAACAUUGAGCCUUGAUGUGUAGGAUAGGUGGGAGGCUUUGAAGUGUGGACGCCAGUCUGCAUGGAGCCGACCUUGAAAUACCACCCUUUAAUGUUUGAUGUUCUAACGUUGGCCCGUAAUCCGGGUUGCGGACAGUGUCUGGUGGGUAGUUUGACUGGGGCGGUCUCCUCCUAAAGAGUAACGGAGGAGCACGAAGGUUGGCUAAUCCUGGUCGGACAUCAGGAGGUUAGUGCAAUGGCAUAAGCCAGCUUGACUGCGAGCGUGACGGCGCGAGCAGGUGCGAAAGCAGGUCAUAGUGAUCCGGUGGUUCUGAAUGGAAGGGCCAUCGCUCAACGGAUAAAAGGUACUCCGGGGAUAACAGGCUGAUACCGCCCAAGAGUUCAUAUCGACGGCGGUGUUUGGCACCUCGAUGUCGGCUCAUCACAUCCUGGGGCUGAAGUAGGUCCCAAGGGUAUGGCUGUUCGCCAUUUAAAGUGGUACGCGAGCUGGGUUUAGAACGUCGUGAGACAGUUCGGUCCCUAUCUGCCGUGGGCGCUGGAGAACUGAGGGGGGCUGCUCCUAGUACGAGAGGACCGGAGUGGACGCAUCACUGGUGUUCGGGUUGUCAUGCCAAUGGCACUGCCCGGUAGCUAAAUGCGGAAGAGAUAAGUGCUGAAAGCAUCUAAGCACGAAACUUGCCCCGAGAUGAGUUCUCCCUGACUCCUUGAGAGUCCUGAAGGAACGUUGAAGACGACGACGUUGAUAGGCCGGGUGUGUAAGCGCAGCGAUGCGUUGAGCUAACCGGUACUAAUGAACCGUGAGGCUUAACCUU
rnacentral:rRNA from 1 species